rnacentral:lncRNA from 1 species
AAAAAGCUUCUCUUCUCUCAUUUUUCUCUGCAAGUGCCCUAGGUCCGGCCAGCACUCCUCGCCGUCCGUCGCGCCCUCCACCGCCGGCGCCGUCGCCGGCCACCGCGAGUUUCAAAAAAGGGUAUAUUUUGUAUAUCUUUUUUUUAUUUUUUAUGUCUUUAUAAUAUGUAUAUGCAUGUGAAUAAAUAGGUUAAAAAAAAGAAAAAGAAAGAAGACAAUGAUGAUAAUUAAAUAAAAUCACCUUGAAAUAUUAGAUUUCGAUUCUUUGUCUAAACUAUUUUCUGCUUUUGGAUAUUGCUGGGAUUUCUGUUUUUGCUUGUGUUUUUUAAAACCUAAUCUUGUUUUUUCAUUUCACAAAAGACUGACCGUACAUAAUAGUUUUUGGAUUUGGCUUUUAAAUAGCCAUUUACAUGCCUUUUUUAUAUUACAUUGUCUUUUCUUUGCAGGAAAAUGGGCGGUGGAGCAGAGGCCAUUUGCGCUGUCGACGUGACUGGGGCGGUGGAGGCAAGUGGUUUAGGGUUUCAGAUUUUGAAUCCUUAAAUUUAG